GGUCGUUUGUUCGGAGGCAUCAGCGGCAUCAGCGGUAUAUUCCCAGGACGUAUACGUAAAUUAAGCGCAUCCGGAAUUCCGGACAACAAGCACGGACAAGUCGGCAAGAGCACCGAAGUCUAAACAUCACAACGCAACGGUAUACAUCGUUAUAUUUUGAAUUUGGAACUCCCAACGAAUUCUCGAUCCUGAUUGGUCGAAUUCAGCCGAUCGUUCACGAACGCAUUCGGGAACCUUCGUUUUUUUUCUUUGAGUAAAAAGAUUUGCUCGAAACGGUGAUUGUCGUAUUAAAUGUAAUAGUUUCAUUAUUUAAAUGGUCGGGUACCUCAUUUUCUAAGUGCCAUUCUUUUAUUUCAACGCACUCGAUUGUAAUCUUCAAGCUGAUUUGAUUUUUAAGGUGAUUUAUAUUAUAAUGAUAUUCACAAAUGAUAUUAUGCACGUAGAAGGGUUAUUUUCCCUUGUUAAGUCGUAAUUAUAGGUCGUCUUCGGAAACUAUGACGUUAUACUAGAUUCCUUGAAGACCAUUGAAAGCGUAAAGUCCUUUGUGAAUAUUUUAAAUUCGCAUCGAUACCUCGAUACGGUAUACGGAUACAAUUUUUACUCUAGUAAAAAUAUCUAUCAAUGACUACAUUUCGCCCUCACUUCGGUCACGUGUAGCCUUUACGCUACACUUGACAUUUUACUACAAGUCAUACAAUUGACUUCCUUCUAGCUUCCUUGUAGCUAUGACGGUCAUUGGCUAAAUGUUGCAUUGCAGCUACAUGUGACUUUAGCUGCGUCAGAUUUAGGCUACACUUGACACUUUUUGUAACUGCGGUUCUAACCAGGGUAGGUCACUGUUGAUAGGCAUUUGGGGUGGUUUUGGAUAAUUUGUAUUUUAAUAUACAAACGUGCCAAUUUGAAUAUGGUACUUGAAUUUAUUAAUAUAACAAUGAUACAGACAGACUAUGAUACGUACACGAAAUGACGUGAAAACUUACUAUGACUAUGAAGAAAUACUUUAAUAAAAUGGCUACUCAUAUUUGUUUCUCGUAGCCCAAAUAUACAGUAAAAUGUAGUAUAUUUUUCUUCAAUAAAAAAGUAGCUAUUCAAUGAAAUAUAUGACGUUUAUUUUCAUAGCGACGUUAGUAGCUGAAAAAAAAAAAAUCUUGGACGUAGAAAAAAUAAAAAGAAUAAGCCUCAUUUUUAAUUAAAGAGGUAAUUAUAACGAAAAUGUAUAGGUAAAUGGCGUUUCGUAUGAAUCGAAGAUACUCGUAAUAUUGGGUCCACGUAUUUGAAGGUAUAUAAUUCUUAGAUGUUGGCGUGAAUCACUCACUAUUCCUGUAGGAAAAAGCUACAAAUAAACAUUCCUAAAUAAUACUUAACUUACUUAAACUCUUUUCUCUGAAGCGACAGACGCAAUAAUAAAACAAUAAUAUCGAAAUAUUAAUUAAAUGGCAACACAACAAAACAUUUUCUAGUCUGGUAACACUAACGUUCUAUAUAAUCCAAUCAAAAACUUUGGUUUACUUUAUUGAUAGUUGUAAAAUACUACAAAUGACUCUCUAUGUAGUCAUUUGUAUCCCAGGAAUAGUGUAGUGGUUCCAAAUCUAGCUAGAGUUAAAUGUGGAAUUACUGGACGGUACCGAAUGAAAAAUAACCGCCGAUUACUCAAACACAGCUUAAAUUGAAGCUAUAAACAGUCUUCAUUAAGUAAACUGUAGUCUCAGUAUUCGGCGGUAAAUAAAAUUUAAAUUAAAUAUUACAUUGCGUCAAAUCAAUAUUCACUUAUUAGAUUCUCACAUUUAAAAAAUAAUUUCCAUUGCAUGUUACCAACCGAAAAGUAUUAUAAAGAUUACUUUUAAAUAAUAAUUAAAAAAAAGAAAAUUUUAUCUUUAGAAAGUUCAUGAUAUUUUCCGUAGAAUAAUUGUACAUACGUUUGGAAUAGCGAAUGCAAUAGAGUUUCUGGAGUACACAAAAUUAUUUCAGCACAGAGAAAUACAUAGACAUCACAGUUUAAAUAAAAUAUUUAUUAUAAUAAAAAUAAAAAAUACGAAUUUAUUCACUAUUGUUGAUGAAUUUUAUUAGAUUAGGCGAUUUGAGGAAUUUUAAUAUAGGAUAGUAACCUUUUGAUUCCUGAAGUAGUUAGAGACCUGUCGUCACCAUUAUGAUGUCCAAAACGACCUGCGAAGAUGAGGGGCUUUUGAACCCAAACAAAAAUAAAAAAAACAAUACAUCCACCGGGAACUUGACUCAACUGCAUACAUGUUUUACAUAUUUACAUAGAAGAAAAAAUCUGUAAUUUGGAAGCCCAAUCCCUUUCCCCCUCCCCCUCCGCCAUCAAAGGCCGACAAUGCACUUCUUACUCCCUUUAAGUGCUAUGAGUGUCCAUGGGCAGCGCUGAUUGCUUCCAAUUAAGUGAUCUGUCUGCUGGUUUACUUUUAAAUAACUAUAUCAUGAAAAUUGCUGAGACUAUUAUUCUUUGAUGCAGUACUCUUAGUACGAGUUUGUUUUACGUUUAUUGAAAUCGAAACGAGAGCGCGCGCUCUGAUUGGCCGGUUAGAAUGAACCAACCAAUAGGAUCGCCAAACGCGCUCUCGUGUCGAUCUCGUUAAACGUAAAACCAACUCGUAUUGAGCCCUCAGUUCAGUUCAGUCAGUUGGUAUUAAGUCCCUCAUCUAUACAGGUACUAAGAAGUCUAUAAAGAGAAUUAUAAUACUUAAUAUUAAUAAAUAAAAUAUCUUCCAAAAAUAUGUACGAUUUUCUGUAUUCGACUACACUGAAGGCUGCUUUUGAUUUUUCAUUUUAUUAUUGUAUAUUUAAACUUAUCGUUACCGAUUCGUAAUUUUCUUGGAUUUUACCGUAAAUUGUAAUAUGUAACUAGGUAGUAAGCGUGUAUUGGUGGGCCGGCCGAUUGAAUUGCGUAUGCGCAUGUUUCCAUUUUCCUUCUAAAAGACGGACGUUAGACAAAAUACAGUUAGAUUUUUGUCAAAAUUGUCUUUUUAUUGGCUCUGAAAUACUGUUAUAGUAUAUUAAAUCUUAAAAAAUGGUAUUUUAAUAUGUCAUAAGACUCAUUCAUAGAAUUUUCGUCCGUCUUAUAAACUAGCUGAGUAAACCUGGAAUUAAAAACCAUGCAAAAUGACAUUAAACCUUAACUCAAGGUGGUAGAAACCAAGAUACAAUGACACAGUGCAAGAAAGAGAUAGAGGUAUAAUCAAAUAGUUCUAUCUCUUUUUUGCACUGAACAAAAUGUAGGGUUCUAAAUGUUAGGUUUUUAGACAAAAUCCAGGUUUAUUCAGUUUAGGUAUUUCCUAGGCCGGCCAGGUUAAAAAAUGUUGACUAAUCUAAAGUAGCUAAACUGUUGACUUUGUACCGGUUUAUAGGCUUGUUGUUUCUACAAUUUGAUACGAGGGUAGAUAGAGAAAUAUAAAAACGACUUGUUAUAGGCGAGGGCUAUGGGAUAACGGAUCUUCUUCCAUUGAAUUAAAGAUCAAUUUUGCAUGACGCAGUAUUUUUCUUAAUGAAAGAAAAAAUUGUCAUGUGAUUUGACUUAGAAAAUGUCCAAUUAUGGUUAAAAUUAAUAUUUAAUGUCGUCAGAAUAUAGUAAUUGAUAUAUGAGAAUUAUAAUCGACAUUGAUAUUGAUUUUAAUGCAUUAUUUAAUUCUUAUAUAAUCCAGAAAUAAUCUGUCCAAUUUGAUGAUGAAUCUCUAAAUUUUGUGUUUGUCUAUUUUUUGUAUACUUAGUAUAGUCGUACACAUAACAAUAAGAAAGAAAAUUUUAAGUUCUUCAAAAUUAUAAAAAAAAACUUUUUUGUUUUUAAUUUUUCGCCUUCUCUAUUUUUUUUUAAUAUUAUUUGUGUGUACGGCUAUAAUUUAAACGUGUUCUAAGCAUCUUUCCUAGUUCUUAAAAAAAUAAAAUGUAAUGCAUGACAAAUUGAAAGGAAUUGAUGUAAAACGUUACUUCGUUGGAUUUUGAUCCUAAUGUGUAUUGUAUUAACGAUCUUUUUGAAUUAAAUAUAUAAUUAUCCCAUAAAGUUUCGUCAAGAGACUCGAAUGUAAUGUUUGUAAGCGUAUUUCAAGCGAAAUGCGUCUUUAUUUUGAUAGGGUUAUGGUAUGGUUUUGUGGUGACGUGGUGUAUUUCUGACAUUUUCUUAUUUUUAAUUAUUAAUAUUUAUUAACAUUUGCUUUCAAAUAUAAAUAUGCCAUAUAACAGAAAUCUAUACUUAUCUACUUCCAUACAUGAAACUGAUUUAUUUAAUUUGCUGUGCAAGUUUGAACCUUAUAACCUUACAGCACUCGUGCGCAAUUACCAUAGCGCUUCUAUGUAUAACUUUACAGUCAUGUAACAUCAAAGAAAUACACCAUAGUUUGCAUGUGAAAAAAAAUCGAAUAGCUUUUGUAGAUUCGCUUGGCGCCAAAGAUUUUAUAAAUCCUUGUGUUCAAUCUCACUGAACGUUUAAAGGGAAAACAAUUGUUUUCUUAAUUACGAUAAUUUUUCGAGUUUUAAGCCUCAAUAUAAAUAUAUCUUAGCGGGCUGUAUGUAUAGUUUUAUUCAUAAUUUAUACGAUUUAUUUCUCUGUAUAAAAAUAAUUAUUAUUACUUACCUAUUCGACCGUUACUUUUCAAAUAUUUGCUAUGAUUAAUAUCUUAAACAUCACGUCUUAUUACUGAAUAAAACUAUACGAAAGAUUUCUAAAGUUGUAAUAGAUUUAAGCGGUUUUCAGUUUUUGUAUAAAUAAAUAAACUUACUAACUUAUUUCUCUGUAUGUAUAUUGAAGAGUUUUUCUAAUAUAUAUUGUUUAGUUAAAAGUUGUUAAAAAAAACCUUAGAAUGUAAGCUAUAACGCGAUUGCGUCUACAUGUUGUAUGAUAAAAAAGUUGUUGAACGUUGCUACAACUAAGUCACAUAAUAAUAGUUUUAUUUAAAACAUAAAACGAUGAAAAUGUAUUUAUUUAUUAAAUAUGAAUUAACAUUCAUGAGUA